UACGUAGGGUGCAAGCGUUAAUCGGAAUUACUGGGCGUAAAGCGUGCGCAGGCGGUUUGUAAGUUUGUCGUGAAAUCCCCGGGCUCAACCUGGGAAUGGCGAUGAAGACUGCAAGGCUAGAAUCUGGCAGAGGGGGGUAGAAUUCCACGUGUAGCAGUGAAAUGCGUAGAGAUGUGGAGGAACACCGAUGGCGAAGGCAGCCCCCUGGGUCAAGAU
rnacentral:rRNA from 1 species